GGAGUUUCCAUGGAAACGGUGCGCGACACUGUAACUGACGAACAGUAAAUCUCCGUCUAUCGCUGAGGUUUUCACUGCUUUCAGACAUGUUUUACAGUCUUCGAAAAAGUCCGCUAGCAUCUGUUUUCAGACGAGGAGUGAUAAUAUAAUCUUUCUACAAAGGAAGAGAAGCUCCAAGAUUUCACAAUUUCUGAAGGGAGCUGCUGACAGAAAUGCAGAAAACAGAUUAUGAUGGCCGUGCAGCAGAGGAGCGCAGAGUCUCCUGUCGGACAACAUCUCUAAGUCGCUAUGAACCAUGUGGCUAGAUCCUAUGUACCCAGCCUCAACCAUUCAUCAGAAGGACUGUGAAAGCGGGAACUCUUUGAACCAGCAGUGGCAGUUUCCACGGGAUGAAAAAGGGCAUAGUAGUGGAUGAUGAGGUCCUGAGACCAUAUGGGGUGAGGAUCAAGACAACCAAACCAAAGGUGGACUGUAGACUUCAUACUGACAAGUACUGCCAUGUAUGCAGCAUGAGAAGUUUUUGAAAAGAGGGGCAUUUCCUUCACAAGUGUGGAGGAUUCAUCUGGCCUUCAUCGGCCCCUAUGAGGUGACUCGAUGUAGAAUAAAUCAGCUUGCUUUAGGCCUGAAAUGAAUGAAAUCUUCUCAUGUGAGUUGAUAUCAUUUUAAAGAUUCUUAAAAGUACUUCUCAUUUCUUGUGAAUGUAUUUUGUAGUAUGUGUAAAACUUUUCCAAUGAAAGAACCUUUUUUACCUUUAUUGAUAUUGUAAUCAAGGCUGUUAAUGCGACCUUGAUGCACCCGAUGGACUGCACACAUCUGCUUGUGUUGGGCUUGUGUUUACAGGUUGUAUAAAACUAGGCCUGGCUGCAACAACUAAUCGAUAAUGAAAAUAAUCAUCAACGAAUUUGAAUAGUGCAUCAAAACAAACAGACCACUCAUAAUUCUGACUAAAAUACAGAUUUUGCUCAAAUAUUUUUUGUUAUAAAUUAAGUGUAGGUUUAAAACCCUACAUGUAACACAAGUAAUCAUAUUCAUGAGAGCAGUAACAGUAAAGGCACUAUUGUUGGAAUUGUC